AAACGGGUGGUAAUGCCGGAUGCUCCAGUUGAUCGCAUGGUCUUCUGGGAAAGCUUUCGCGGUAUGGGAUGGGGUCGCGUCCUAUCAGCUUGACGGCGGGGUAACGGCCCACCGUGGCUUCGACGGGUAGCCGGCCUGAGAGGGCGACCGGCCACAUUGGGACUGAGAUACGGCCCAGACUCCUACGGGAGGCAGCAGUGGGGAAUAUUGCACAAUGGGCGCAAGCCUGAUGCAGCGACGCCGCGUGAGGGAUGGAGGCCUUCGGGUUGUAAACCUCUUUUAUCGGGGAGCAAGCGAGAGUGAGUUUACCCGUUGAAUAAGCACCGGCUAACUACGUGCCAGCAGCCGCGGUAAUACGUAGGGUGCAAGCGUUAUCCGGAAUUAUUGGGCGUAAAGGGCUCGUAGGCGGUUCGUCGCGUCCGGUGUGAAAGUCCAUCGCUUAACGGUGGAUCCGCGCCGGGUACGGGCGGGCUUGAGUGCGGUAGGGGAGACUGGAAUUCCCGGUGUAACGGUGGAAUGUGUAGAUAUCGG
rnacentral:rRNA from 2 species